ensembl:lncRNA
AAAAUGUGCACCCCCCAUCCCAAGUAUUCAUGACCCUUAUGUAGACCCCUUCCUACACAUGGGGCUUGACCAUAUGGUUGCUUUGACUGAUGAGACAAUAGCAAACACAACACAGAGAUUUGGAAAGUGCUUAUUGCUUAUCCUCUUUCUUUCUGCUUCUGGAAACUCUGAGACCACCGUCUUGUGAUUGAGUGGGAGCUGGACUACUAGAUGAGAAGAGAUAUGGCCCAGCUAGCCUCAUCACUCUCUGCAAAACUCAACCAACUGCAAGCUGUACACGAGGCCAUAGCCUGCCGGUUGAUCCUGGGGCCACAGGGCUUCUCAAACUCCAGGAUGCAUCAGAGUCACAGGGAGAUACACAGUGGUAGAUCCAACCCAGAGCUUCUUUCUUUUUGCACCAACAGAUGCUGGAGGAGAUUUUUUAAAAAAGAACUUAUUUCAUUCUUAACAUCAACAGACUUACCAAUAGGGGAUAUAAGGUAAAUAUUAUAUUUACUUAAAUAUUACACAUUGCUGUCACUUUUAAACAAAGGGCCAGUACAAUUCUAAACACCAAAUACAUUAAAUCAAUUUUCACACAAUCCCUUUAAGGGACUAUACUGUUAGUUUCUACUUUUGCUGGUGAUGAAAAUGAGGCAUGGAGAUUUUAACUUGCUUAAAGUCCCAUAGCUAAUGUGUGGCGGCGCUAAGAUUGAAAUCUAGGCACUCGAAAAUCAAACCUCAAGUUUCUAACCAUUUUAUUGUACUGCUACUGAGAAAGAACAGGCUGCUUAAUAUACAGAGUUCUAAAGUUAGCACUUAUGUCUCAGGAAACACUAUCCUUUUUUUCUUUUUUUGCUUAGGAAAGUAAUAACACAAAAGAGAAGAUGGCUUUCCCUAUAGUUUGAGGCCCCAAACCUUUAAAAUUACAUUGUACCAGCAAUUUCACAGAUAUAACCCAGAUUUUCUGACUUCAUAGCUUUGGGAUGUUGCCCAGUCAGUAAUUUUCACAUCCAACGAGUUCUGUGGUGACACUGCUGUUGCUGGAGUAAGAACUGCACUUUGAGAAACAUCGGUCUACUGGAUGUGUUGGAGACAGUUAGCUUGCCUUGAAACUCCAGGAUUCUGGUCCACGAGGAACCAUUUCAGUUCUGAAAGAGAAGACUGCAUAGUCCCAGAGGUCCUGGACGCAGAGGAGCUGGAGGGCAGAGCUGCAUAAUCUUGGGGUUGUCUUCCUUUGAGGGACAGAUGAGAUUUCAUAGAGCCCACCCACCACCACAGCGGCUAAAAAUGCCAGGUACUCAGCCGCACUUGCCACCCAGGCAUUAGCAUAGUGCCCCAUUCCCACCAGGGUACCUGAAGGGAAUGCCGCUGAGGCAGAGGAAGUGUGGAGGUGGAAUUCUCGGAAAGACAUUCCUCCCUGAUAAGGGAGACAUAUGAGGAGAAUCCUGAGAACUCUGCUGGGGCUCUUGGAUAAUUUUACCCUAACAGUGGAAGUGGUAAGUCUGGCCAACAAAAGCUUGGAACACAGGGGCAGUCAGAGUCCUGAAGGUGGCGGCAGAAGGCAGCAACCUGGAGUGACUUGUGAUCUACCUCCUAGGAAUACCCAAAAGGUGCGUGAGCUGGAUGAAGAAGAGGAGAAGGAUGUUGUCAGAGAAUCUCUCUG